rnacentral:rRNA from 1 species
GACGAACGCUGGCGGCGUGCUUAACACAUGCAAGUCGAACGAUGACGCCCGAGCUUGCUCGGUCUGAUUAGUGGCGAACGGGUGAGUAACACGUGAGCAACCUGCCCUUCACUCUGGGAUAACCUCGGGAAAUCGGGGCUAAUACCGGAUAUGAGCUCCUGUCGCAUGGCGGGUGUUGGAAAGUUUUUCGGUGUAGGAUGGGCUCGCGGCCUAUCAGUUUGUUGGUGAGGUAGUGGCUAACCAAGGCGAUGACGGGUAGCCGGCCUGAGAGGGCGACCGGCCACACUGGGACUGAGACACGGCCCAGACUCCUACGGGAGGCAGCAGUGGGGAAUAUUGCAAAAUGGGCGAAAGCCUGAUGCAGCGACGCCGCGUGAGGGAUGACGGCCUUCGGGUUGUAAACCGCUUUCAGCAGGGAAGAAGCGAAAGUGACGGUACCGGCAGAAGAAGCGCCGGCUAACUACGUG